GAACAGAGAAGUUAAGCCCGCCAGCGCCGAUGGUACUGCGGGGUAGACUCCGUGGGAGAGUAGGUCGUCGCCCAUU
rnacentral:rRNA from 1 species